AGAGUUUGAUUCUGGCUCAGGAUGAACGCUGGCGGCGUGCUUAACACAUGCAAGUCGAGCGAAGCGAUUUAAGUGAAGUUUUCGGAUGGAUCUUAAAUUGACUGAGCGGCGGACGGGUGAGUAACGCGUGGAUAACCUGCCUCACACAGGGGGAUAACAGUUAGAAAUGACUGCUAAUACCGCAUAAGCGCACGGUACCGCAUGGUACAGUGUGAAAAACUCCGGUGGUGUGAGAUGGAUCCGCGUCUGAUUAGGUAGUUGGUGAGGUAACGGCCCACCAAGCCGACGAUCAGUAGCCGACCUGAGAGGGUGACCGGCCACAUUGGGACUGAGACACGGCCCAA
rnacentral:rRNA from 1 species